rnacentral:rRNA from 1 species
GAUGAACGCUAGCUACAGGCUUAACACAUGCAAGUCGAGGGGAAACGCUGAGAGAGCUUGCUCUCUUAGGCGUCGACCGGCGCACGGGUGAGUAACGCGUAUCCAACCUACCCAUUACAGGGGGAUAACCUUGCGAAAGUAAGACUAAUACCCCAUGGCAUUUUAUGGUGGCAUCAUUAUAGGAUUAAAGAUUUAUUGGUAAUGGGUGGGGAUGCGUCUGAUUAGCUUGUUGGCGGGGUAACGGCCCACCAAGGCAACGAUCAGUAGGGGUUCUGAGAGGAAGGUCCCCCACAUUGGAACUGAGACACGGUCCAAACUCCUACGCGAGGCAGCAGUGAGGAAUAUUGGUCAAUGGGCGAGAGCGUGAACCAGCCAAGUAGCGUGCAGGAUGACGGCCCUAUGGGUUGUAAACUGCUUUUAUAGGGGAAUAAAGUGAGCUACGUGUAGUUUAUUGCAUGUACCCUAUGAAUAAGGACCGGCUAAUUCCGUG